rnacentral:rRNA from 1 species
GUGGGGAAUCUUCCGCAAUGGACGAAAGUCUGACGGAGCAACGCCGCGUGAGUGAAGAAGGUUUUCGGAUCGUAAAGCUCUUUCGUUAGGGACGAACGUGCUCUUUGUGAAUAAUGAGGAGUAAUGACGGUACCUAAAUAAGAAGCCACGGCUAACUACGUGCCAGCAGCCGCGGUAAUACGUAGGUGGCAAGCGUUGUCCGGAAUUAUUGGGGGUAAAGCGCGCGCAGGCGGGAUAUCAAGUCUGUCUUAAAAGUGCGAGGCUAAACCUCGUGAGGGGACCGAAACUGGUAUUCUUGAGUGUCGGAGAGGAAAGUGGAAUUCCAAGUGUAGCGGUGAAAUGCGUAGAGAUUUGGAAGAACACCAGUGGCGAAGGCGACUUUCUGGACGAUGUCUGACGCUGAGGCGCGAAAGCUAGGGGAGCGAACGGGAUUAGAAACCCCGGUAGUCC